AAAGCUUUAUUAAUGACAUACANCAGAAUUUAUUUAAUGGGUGCAAAUCCCCANUUUUUAAAUAAAAGACGAGAAGACCCUUGAAANUUUUAACCAUGAGNCAAAUAUAAGUUUUUGUUGGGGCAACAUAGUAGCAUUUAACCUACGAUACACUACACGACANUGAUUUAGUCAGUCUAAAUUACUCUAGGGAUAACAGCGUAAUUCUGUAUGAGUUUGCGACCUCGAUGUUGGACUAGGAAGCGGAUGCUUAGAAGGUNAACAGCCAUGCUCUGUUCGAGCNAGGAAAUCCUACGUGAUCUGA
rnacentral:rRNA from 1 species